rnacentral:rRNA from 1 species
UUUAUGGAGAGUUUGAUCCUGGCUCAGGACGAACGCUGGCGGCGUGCUUAACACAUGCAAGUCGAACGGGAUGAUCUUAAAGCUUGCUUUUAGAGAAUCUAGUGGCAAACGGGUGAGUAACACGUAGACAACCUGCCGACAGGAUGGGGACAACAUUCCGAAAGGAAUGCUAAUACCGAAUGAAGUCAGAGGAGGGCAUCCUCCUCUGAUGAAAG